AGAGUUUGAUCCUGGCUCAGGAUGAACGCUGGCGGCGUGCUUAACACACGCAAGUCGAACGGGAAACUUUUCAUUGAAGCUUCGGCAGAUUUGGUCUGUUUCUAGUGGCGGACGGGUGAGUAACGCGUGGGUAACCUGCCUUAUACAGGGGGAUAACAACCAGAAAUGGUUGCUAAUACCGCAUAAGCGCACAGGACCGCAUGGUCCGGUGUGAAAAACUCCGGUGGUAUAAGAUGGACCCGCGUUGGAUUAGCUAGUUGGCAGGGUAACGGCCUACCAAGGCGACGAUCCAUAGCCGGCCUGAGAGGGUGGACGGCCACAUUGGGACUGAGACACGGCCCAGACUCCUACGGGAGGCAGCAGUGGGGAAUAUUGCACAAUGGGGGAAACCCUGAUGCAGCGACGCCGCGUGAGCGAAGAAGUAUUUCGGUAUGUAAAGCUCUAUCAGCAGGGAAGAAAAUGACGGUACCUGACUAAGAAGCCCCGGCUAACUACGUGCCAGCAGCCGCGGUAAUACGUAGGGGGCAAGCGUUAUCCGGAUUUACUGGGUGUAAAGGGAGCGUAGACGGAAUGGCAAGUCUGAUGUGAAAGGCCGGGGCUCAACCCCGGGACUGCAUUGGAAACUGUCAAUCUAGAGUACCGGAGGGGUAAGUGGAAUUCCUAGUGUAGCGGUGAAAUGCGUAGAUAUUAGGAGGAACACCAGUGGCGAAGGCGGCUUACUGGACGGUAACUGACGUUGAGGCUCGAAAGCGUGGGGAGCAAACAGGAUUAGAUACCCUGGUAGUCCACGCCGUAAACGAUG
rnacentral:rRNA from 1 species